GGUGGAUUGAUUUGUCUGCUUAAUUGCGAUAACGAACGAGACCUUACUCUGCUAAAUAGUACCGGGUUAACAUUUUAUGGUGGAGAGCUGAUUUUUGAGAACGGCAAGUAAUUGCUAGUUGCGGGUCAGAAGGACGCUUUUGUUAAACACGGAGACUUCUUAGAGAAACUAAUAUUCAAAAAAAUAGAGGAAGAAAGGCAAUAACAGGUCUGUGAUGCCCUUAGAUGUUCUGGGCCGCACGCGCGCUACAAUGUAUUGUAUAAAGUGUGUUCUGAUAAAGAUCCACUUUGCAGGAAUGCCGGGUAAAACUGGAUUCCUAUUCGUAACCGGAAUAGAUGUUUGUAAUUAUUUGUCUUGAACGAGGAAUUUCUAGUAGUCGUGGUUCACUAAACCACGUCGAUUACGUCCCUGCCCUUUGUACACACCGCCCGUCGCUUCUACCGAUUGAAUACUCCGGUGAAAUCGCCGGAUAAUUGUCCGUCAGGGGGGCGACCCCCAGACGGUCCGUUAAAAGACGAGUAAACCAUAGUAUUUAGAGGAAGAAGAAGUCGUAACAAGGUCUCCGUAGGUGAACCUGCGGAGGGAUCAUUACU
rnacentral:rRNA from 1 species